rnacentral:lncRNA from 10 species
GUAGACCGGAGCUGUUCCUAUUCGGCCAUCUUGGCACCACCCCCACCUUGGUAUAUUCCUAUUGCAGAAAUAGACAUCGUUUACUGCAGAUAUUUUACUUUUUAUGCUUGCUACUCCUUUGACCACUUUUUCAAACUGCAGAUAGUGACCUAUUAUAAAAUCAGUGUAGUGGGUGAGACCAGCGUGUUUUUUUUGCUCUGUUUUGGUUUUUUGUUUCGAGAUGGAGUCUCGCUCUGUUGCUCAGGCCGGAGUGCAGUGGCCCGAUCUCAGCUCACUGCAGCCUCUGCCACCCGGGUUCAAGCGAUUCUCUCAGCCUCCUGAGUAGCUGGGAUUAUAGGUGCACACCACCAUGCCCAGCUAAUUUUUGUAUUUUUUUUUAGUAGAGACAGGGUUUCACCAUAUUGGCCAUGCUGGUCUCGAACUCCUGACCGUGUUAUCUGCCCACAUCAGCCUCCCAAAGUGCUGGGAUUACAGAGACUAGCUUUUUUUUUUUUUAAUGGAAUAAAAUAAUGUCACUGAAUUGGAAUACUCUAUUAUUUCAGGACACCUUUAUGAAAAAUAUUUCAGGGAGAACGCUUUUCAAAGCAUGAACAACAGACAACCUACAUCAGAACCAACUGGAAUGCUUGUUAAACAAAAAAAAGGAAAGCCACAGAUCAACUGAAUCAGCAUCUGUGAGGGGCAGAGCCUGUAUGUCUGCCUCCUAAGUUUGGAUCAUACUACGAUUUGAGAACUGUUGGUGCAGUAUAACUCAUCUGUGUUUUCUGUUCAAUCUCUAGUAGUCACAAUUUCACAAUAAAUUAUUUCCCUACAGUGUUCUAAGUAGUUGCUGUUUUGUUUGUGCAUGGAUUUUUGCCAGAACUCC